rnacentral:rRNA from 1 species
GACGAACGCUGGCGGCGUGCUUAACACAUGCAAGUCGAACGGUGAAGGUGGAGCUUGCUCUGCUGGAUCAGUGGCGAACGGGUGAGUAACACGUGAGCAAUCUGCCCCGAACUCUGGGAUAACCACGGGAAACCGUGGCUAAUACUGGAUAUGUCGAGUGACCGCAUGGUCUGCUCGUGGAAAGAUUUUUCGGUUCGGGAUGAGCUCGCGGCCUAUCAGCUUGGUGGUGAGGUAAUGGCUCACCAAGGCGACGACGGGUAGCCGGCCUGAGAGGGUGACCGGCCACACUGGGACUGAGACACGGCCCAGACUCCUACGGGAGGCAGCAGUGGGGAAUAUUGCACAAUGGGCGCAAGCCUGAUGCAGCAACGCCGCGUGAGGGAUGACGGCCUUCGGGUUGUAAACCUCUUUUAGCAGGGAAGAAGCGAAAGUGACGGUACCUGCAGAAAAAGCACCGGCUAACUACGUGCCAGCCGCCGCGGUAAGAC